CCCUUAGAUGUUCUGGGCUGCACGCGCGCUACACUGACGCACCCAACGGGUUUACGACCUUGCCUGGAAAGGUUGGGUAUUCCUACAAAAAUGCGUCGUGGUGGGGACAGAUUACUGCAAUAACUAAUCUUCAACGAGGAAUUCCUAGUAAGCGCGAGUCAUCAGCUCGUGCUGAUUACCUCCCUGCCCUUUGUACACACCGCCCGUCGCUCCUACCGAUUAAGUGAUCCGGUGAAUAGUUCGGACUGCUGCAAUGCUUGGAUCCCGAGAAUUGCGGCGAAAGUUUAGUGAACCUUAUCACUUAGAGGAAGGAGAAGUCGUAACA
rnacentral:rRNA from 1 species